ensembl:lncRNA
UUUGUAUUUUAUCUGUGUGUGUGUAUGUGCAUCUGUGUGUGUGUGUGUGUGUGUGUGUGUGUGUGUGUGUGUGUGUGUGUGUGUGUUUUUUCAGGUGAAAUGGAGUGGAGCAUAUCAAGAUGGGGCUGGUUUGACUCUAGGGGAGGAGGUAGAGCAAUGUAAUGCCUUUUUGUCAAGGAUUGCAGUUACCACAAAACAUAUGUCCAAAGCAGGACGGAGUGACAUGCUAACUCUUAUGGCCAUGCGCUGGAAUCAACAAAAGCUAGACCGGUUGGCCACCUCUCUGACCCAUCGAUAUCAGAAGGUAAUGAUAUUGUUACUUUAUUUUUAGAUGAUUACUCCUCUGUGUUCUUAUUAUUUGGAGUAAACAUGUGUUUAGAGUUUUUUGUUUGUUUGUUUGUUUUUUAAUCUCAAAUUGACAAUGUAGGCCACAAAAGCUCUUCUAACCCAGCUUCAGAACCUGGAGUCCUUAAAAGUCCAAUUAGCAGUGACUGACAGUCAACUGGAUGAAUGGGUCAGUGAUGUAAAGGAUUGGGCAGAAGCAACAACAAGCACAAGUGAUAUUGAUCCCUUGGUGAGCAGAAUCGAAGUGCUCGUAGCGAGCAUAAAGAGACGAUCCCAGCGUCUGUACAAAGACA